UGUGGAAGCAUUCUUGCGCACGGUUCUACCGUGUUGAAUGACACGUUGCCGUGUUUUACCCCUCUGCGUCGAGUUUAAAAACCCGAAUGGGGUUAUUUGGGCCGCGAUCUUGAGGGACAUUAACACCAAUUAACACAUGUGGGUUGUUAACUUACUCGGUUCACUUUCGCGCCAAAUGCAGCGCCGCGUGGGCCUCAGUCGCCAUCUUUGUGCGAUCCAGGGAGGUCGUGUCUGUGCUGCGUGUGACGUCUUGUUGAAUACGGCUCAAGAUGAGCAGAAUGAAGGUAAAUCUCCAAGUCCCACAGUCAGAGCUCAAGACUGUGAGGCAGGACUUCAUUCCUUGAUGAAUGCGGCUCAACUGCUAACAGGAUAAGAAGACACGAACCAGGAGAAGUUGGACGCUUUUUAGAAUUUCCUCUCGUACCGCUAUAGUGUCAUGGGUGGAGGGGAGCGAGGCUGCCAUCUCCGAAGACAACACGCCUCUGAGUGUGCGCCUCCUAGUUUGUGCGGCAAUGUUCCCCGUGUUCAAUGAGAAAAUUCAAUGCCCCAGCGGUCAGAACUCCCAGCUAGUGUUGACGCAAUAGCUCUCCAAAUGUCGACCGGAAAGUCGUUAAAAAAAUCGUUGCGACGAUCGGCUCGACAAGCUGAAGACCGCGCCAGUUAAUGCAUGUGAAACGGCACCUCUACUCUCCCAUCGCCAGGCCCAAAGACGUGUUAUUCAUAGGUGUCUUUCACAAUACUAGUGUUGCUGAUCGCGGAGGACCACUGUCCACUGCUCGUCCGCCGUGGUGUUACUUCUGAUGAGGCUCAGAGCGCAUGUGUAUUGUUUACUGUGAACAAUCUGUUGAAAUAUAUAAUGAGUAGAUCUG